rnacentral:rRNA from 1 species
GACGAACGCUGGCGGCGUGCUUAACACAUGCAAGUCGAGCGGUAAGGCCCUUUCGGGGGUACACGAGCGGCGAACGGGUGAGUAACACGUGGGUGACCUGCCCUCAGCUCUGGGAUAAGCCUGGGGAAACCGGGUCUAAUACCGGAUAUGACUCCAUGACGCAUGUUGUGGGGUGGAAAGCCUUGUGCGGCUGAGGAUGGGCCCGCGGCCUAUCAGCUUGUUGGUGGGGNGAUGGCCUACCAAGGCGACGACGGGUAGCCGGCCUGAGAGGGCGACCGGCCACACUGGGACUGAGACACGGCCCAGACUCCUACGGGAGGCAGCAGUGGGGAAUCUUGCGC